UCUCCACCUCCUCUAUCUCCUCUCCUUCUCCACCACCCAAACCAUCACUAACCCCGCCGAUAUCCUCCCCAAUUCAGCUCCGCCAUCGUCAGCAAGCUCCAGUCCUUAGGUUUCACCAACCUCGUCCUCCGCACCCACACCGACCUCGACCUCACGCGCUAAAACGACGUCGAGUCCUUCUUCGCAGCCGAAAAGCCCCAAUUCUAUGGGCUUGACGGUUGACACAUCUUUGUAUCCAUAUGACCCAUCCGAUUCAAGCAGGUUCCAGCAACCUCCAGCUCAGCCACAAGAAGAAAGGAGGCGCUGCAUCGAUCAUCAUGUGAAAAUAGAUGUGGAGUUGACCAAAAUUUAAACAGAGUUGGUUUCUGAAAGACCGCUUCUCGGACCAUUGUGUUCGAACUUUUUGUUGAGUUUGUGUACAACAUUUCUUUUUCAGUUCCAGACUCGUCUUCCCUUUAAAAUGUAUUUCUAGUUGGUGUGUAAAUUGUACUGCUAGUUAGGAUUUCUUAUGGAUAAAGAAUAGUGUUAUGAACAGAGUAACUCGAGACAUUCUGGCAGUUACAAUGAUGUGGUCUUCUAUUGGUUUUGAUUCA